rnacentral:rRNA from 1 species
CCUGGUUGAUCUUGCCAGUAGUCAUAUGCUUGUCUCACAGAUUAAGCCAUGCAAGUGAAAGUACAUAUGUAAGUAAUAUAUUGAAACUGCGAACGGCUCAUUAAAACAGUUAUAAUCUACUUGAUGUUUUUAAUAUAAGGAUAACUACGGAAAAUCUGUAGCUAAUACUUGUGAAAAUACCUUUUGAUAUAUACAUAUGUAUGUAUCAUUAAGGUAUGUAUUUGUUAGAUAUAAGAAUAAAAUAAAUAUAAUUGAAUUAUAACAAAGAAGAAACACAUAAAAUAUGUGUAUUAUCAAUCGAGUAUCUGACCUAUCAGCUUUUGAUGUUAGGGUAUUGACCUAACAUGGCUAUGACGGGUAACGGGGAAUUAGAGUUCGAUUCCGGAGAGGGAGCCUGAGAAAUAGCUACCACAUCUAAGGAAGGCAGCAGGCGCGUAAAUUACCCAAUUCUAAAAAAGAGAGGUAGUGACAAGAAAUAACAAUACAAUAUCGAAAAAUGAUUUUGUAAUUGGAAUGAUAGGAAUUUACAAGGUUCCUAGAGAAACAAUUGGAGGGCAAGUCUGGUGCCAGCAGCCGCGGUAAUUCCAGCUCCAAUAGCAUAUAUUAAAAUUGUUGCAGUUAAAACGUUCGUAGUUGAAUAUUAAAGAAUCCGAUGUUUCAUUUAAACUGGUUUGGGAAAACCAAAUAUAUUAUAUAUUUUGCUUUGUUCAAAAUAAGGUUUUCUAAUAAAUUAUGUUUUUAUCAGAUAUGACAGAAUCUUUUUUAAAAUCUCUUCAAUAUGCUUUUAUUGCUUUUGAGAGGUUUUGUUACUUUGAGUAAAAUUAAGUGUUCAUAACAGACGGGUAGUCAUGAUUGAGUUCAUUGUGUUUGAAUACUACAGCAUGGAAUAACAAAUAUGAAUAAGCUAAUUAUUUUUUUUUUUCAUAAUUUUUUUUGAUAUUCUUAUUAGCUUAGUUACGAUUAAUAGGAGUAGCUUUGGGGGCAUUCGUAUUCAGAUGUCAGAGGUGAAAUUCUAAGAUUUUCUGGAGACGGACUACUGCGAAAGCAUUUGCCUAAUCUAUUUCCAUUAAUCAAGAACGAAAGUUAAGGGAGUGAAGACGAUCAGAUACCGUCGUAAUCUUAACCAUAAACUAUACCGACUAGGUGUUGGAUGAAUAUAAAAAAUAUAUAAAUAUGUAGCAUUUCUUAGGGAAUGUUGAUUUUAUAUUAGAAUUGCUUCCUUCAGUACCUUAUGAGAAAUCAAAGUCUUUGGGUUCUGGGGCGAGUAUUCGCGCAAGCGAGAAAGUUAAAAGAAUUGACGGAAGGGCACCACCAGGCGUGGAGCUUGCGGCUUAAUUUGACUCAACACGGGAAAACUCACUAGUUUAAGACAAGAGUAGGAUUGACAGAUUAAUAGCUCUUUCUUGAUUUCUUGGAUGGUGAUGCAUGGCCGUUUUUAGUUCGUGAAUAUGAUUUGUCUGGUUAAUUCCGAUAACGAACGAGAUCUUAACCUGCUAAUUAGCGGUAAGUACACUAUAUUUUUAUUUGAAAUUGAAUAUAGGUAAUUAUACAUGUUUAUUCAGUGUUCAAAUUAGGAUAUUUUUUUAUUAAAAUAUUCUUUUCCCUGUUCUACUAUAAUAAUUUGUUUUUUUUUACUCUAUUUCUCUCUUCUUUUAAGAAUGUACUUGUUUGAUUAAAUAAAGCUUCUUAGAGGAACAGUGUGUAUCUAACACAAGGAAGUUUAAGGCAACAACAGGUCUGUGAUGUCCUUAGAUAAACUAGGCUGCACGCGUGCUACAAUGAUAUAUAUAACAAGUUGUUAAAAAUGUACUUAUAAAUAAGUGUGUACAAUUUUUCCUGUACUGAAAAGUAUAGGUAAUCUUUAUCAGUAUAUAUCGUAAUUGGGAUAGAUUAUUGCAAUUAUUAAUCUUGAACGAGGAAUGCCUAGUAAGCAUGAUUCAUUAGAUUGUGCUGACUACGUCCCUGCCCUUUGUACACACCGCCCGUCGCUCCUACCGAUUGAAAGAUAUGAUAAAUUGUUUGGAUAUGAAUUAAAAUAAUGAAAUUUUAUAUUUCUGAUUUUUUCUAGAAGAACUGUAAAUCCUAUCUUUUAAAGGAAGGAGAAGUCGUAACAAGGUUUCCGUAGGUGAACCUGCGGAAG